rnacentral:rRNA from 1 species
UCGAGAGUCUUUCGCAAUGCCCGAGAGGUGACGAAGCGACGCCGCGUGUGGGAAGAAGGCCUUCGGGUUGUAAACCACUGUCGGGAGUUAAGAACUGUAGGGAUGCUAAUAGUAUUCUUACUUGACUUAGGCUCCGGAGAAGCCAUGGCUAACUCUGUGGCAGCAGCCGCGGUAAUACAGAGGCGGCAAGCGUUGUUCGGAAUUAUUGUGCGUAAAGAGAAUGUAGGCGGCUAUGUAAGUCGGUUGUGAAAGCCUUCCGCUUAACGGAAGAAUGGCGGCCGAUACUGCAUGGCUUGAGUGCGGUAGGGGAGAGGGGAACUUCUGGUGGAGCGGUGAUAUGCGUAGAUAUCAGAAGGAACGCCGGCGGCGAAAGCGACUCUGUGGACCGUAGCUGACGCUGAGUGUGCGAAAGCUAGGGGAGCAAACGGGAUUAGAUAGGCCGGUAGUCCUACGCGUUAACGAUGGGCACUAUGUAGAGGGGUUUUGAUUAUCUCUCUGCCGGGAUAACGCAUUAAGUGCCCCGCCUGGGGAGUACGGCCGCAAGGCU